GAUGAACGCUGGCGGCGUGCCUAAUACAUGCAAGUCGAGCGAACGGACGCGAAGCUUGCUUUUCUGAUGUUAGCGGCGGACGGGUGAGUAACACGUGGAUCACCUACCUAUAAGACUGGGAUAACUUCGGGAAACCGGAGCUAAUACCGUAUAAUAUUUUGAACCGCAUGGUUCAAAAGUGAAAGACGGUCUUGCUGUCACUUAUCGAUGGAUCCGCGCUUCAUUAGCUAGUUGGUAAGGUAACGGCUUACCAAGGCAACGAUGCAUAGCCGACCUGAGAGGGUGAUCGGCCACACUGGAACUGAGGCACGGUCCAGACUCCUACGGGAGGCAGCAGUAGGGAAUCUUACGCAAUGGGCGAAAGCCUGACGGAGCAACGCCGCGUGAGUGAUGAAGGUCUUCGGAUCGUAAAACUCUGUUAUUAGGGAAGAACAUAUGUGUAAGUAACUGUGCACAUCUUGACGGUACCUAAUCAGAAAGCCACGGCUAACUACGUG
rnacentral:rRNA from 1 species